AAGAGACAGCAGUCGCCGCGGGAAUACGUAGGUGGCAAGCGUUGUCCGGAAUUAUUGGGCGUAAAGCGCGCGCAGGUGGUUUAAUAAGUCUGAUGUGAAAGCCCACGGCUCAACCGUGGAGGGUCAUUGGAAACUGUUUAACUUGAGUGCAGGAGAGAAAAGUGGAAUUCCUAGUGUAGCGGUGAAAUGCGUAGAGAUUAGGAGGAACACCAGUGGCGAAGGCGGCUUUUUGGCCUGUAACUGACACUGAGGCGCGAAAGCGUGGGGAGCAAACAGGAUUAGAUACCCCAGUAGUCCCUGUCUCUUAUAC
rnacentral:rRNA from 1 species